GAUGAACGCUGGCGGCGUGCCUAAUACAUGCCAGUCGAGCGAACGGACGAGAAGCUUGCUUCUCUGAUGUUAGCGGCGGACGGGUGAGUAACACGUGGAUAACCUACCUAUAAGACUGGGAUAACUUCGGGAAACCGGAGCUAAUACCGGAUGAUAUUUUGAACCGCAUGGUUCAAAAGUGAAAGACGGUCUUGCUGUCACUUAUAGAUGGAUCCGCGCUGCAUUAGCUAGUUGGUAAGGUAACGGCUUACCAAGGCAACGAUGCAUAGCCGACCUGAGAGGGUGAUCAGCCACACUGGAACUGAGACACGGUCCAGACUCCUACGGGAGGCAGCAGUAGGGAAUAUUCCGCAAUGGGCGAAAGCCUGACGGAGCAACGCCGCGUGAGUGAUGAAGGUCUUCGGAUCGUAAAACUCUGUUAUUAGGGAAGAACAUAUGUGUAAGUAACUGUGCACAUCUUGACGGUACCUACUCAGAAAGCCACGGCUAACUACGUG
rnacentral:rRNA from 1 species